GUAUUCUCCACUGGUUGAAUGCAAAUGGAAGCCAGAGGAAAAGGGAACCCUUGACACAGUUUUCAUAUAGAUUGGCCUCCAGAGCAGACAGCAGUUGCUCUGGCUAUAUCAAAUAAAAGUGUCAAGAGUGAGCAUCCUUGCCUUGUGCUGAAUCACAAAGGAAUACCUUUCAGUUUUUCUCCAUUGAUUAUGAUAGCAGUGGGCUUUUCACAGUGGGCUUUAUUGUGUUGAGGAGGAGGUCUGAUGGCCGGGAGGACAGGAAGAAGGAACCCACAAUAAAGCAAAAGUCGCGUUUAACUCUGUCCUCACCAUUCCUCUCCUGGGCCUGUCCUAAACUGGAAGCUGGGGGAGGAUGGAGUGCUGGAAUGCUGCAGAAGUCUCAUGGGAGGGCGCCUGGUGUUCACCACAUGUGUACCCUGUUGCACGACCAG
rnacentral:sRNA from 1 species